rnacentral:rRNA from 1 species
CUUAGAUAUUUUAAAUACAAAAAAUAUUCGCCAGAGAAUUACGAGCUAAACAUGCUUAAAACUCUAAGGACUUGGCGGUACCUCAAACCCACCUAGAGGAGCCUGUUCUAUAAUCGACAAUCCACGAUUCACCUCACCAUCUCUUGCCAACUCCGCCUAUAUACCGCCGUUAUAGCUUACCUUAUGAAAGAUAAAAAGUAAGCAAAAUAAUCUAAACAAUUAAUAAAUCAGGUCAAGGUGUAGCUUACUGAGAUGGAAGAAAUGGGCUACAUUUUCUAUACUAGAAAUAACUACGGAAAGAUACCUUGAAAUAGGUUCUACAAGCAGGAUUUAGCAGUAAACUGGGAAAAGAGAGCCCAA